UCCGCCGGUAGAGCUUGAUGGCCUGCAUCAGCCCCAGCGCCAGGCAGAACACCAAAGCCAGGUGCAAGGGCCGCGCCCAGCGGGUCUCCAGCCAGGAGGCCUCCAUCACUCUGCGCUGGCGGUCGCGCGGGCAGUGGUUCAAGAUGUGAGUCCUCAGCUUCCUGUUUCUGCCACCAUAACUGCAUUCUGCCUCCAUGGACUAACCUAACCAUUCAUCUAACCCUCUGGAAUUAUAAACCCAAAUAAACUCUUCUGUAAAUUGC